UAGCACUGGAUGAAAUGGUUAUUUUUUACUUGCAAUCAGUUGAAACAAACGUGUAUAAAUACAUUUUAUUCUCGUCAGUGAUGAAGAAGGACUUUAUUAAGCUCAACACCUCCACGAGAAGCUGGUGAAAGACGAUUUUCUACUGCAGAUCAACUCACCAUGGAGCUAUCCAAAGAAACAGUCUGGUACAUUCAUUGCUAAAAUCCGGUCCGUGUGCGAGCGUGUUUUGGUUUGCCGAACCUCAGGGACCGGCUGGCUCCCCCAGGACUAAGCGCCCCUCAUAGGGUGGGAUAAAGAGGGUAUCCUUUACAGAACAGGCCUUCAUCCACUCCCCAACCCCCACGGAGCACAGGCUACAUCAGUCGACACCACCAAUCCUAUUGUCUGCACCGGGAUGUAAUCAGGUAAAGCUGCCAGCGACACUGAUUGAUUACUCCACAUCUAAUUUCUCUUGCUGGGAGCAACUACAUCUGGAGCUGAGUGCACACACUUCGGAGGCCGUCACCUGUCAGUCAUUCCUGUAAUUGAUGAUUCGGCCAAUCCUGUGUCUGCUCAACCCCCUGCAAAGGAAACUUGUACUGUAUCCACUCAGAACAGCCAGCUGCCAGUCAAAGCCAUAGUCACACGCAGUCUUUUCCCCUGCUAGACAAAAUCAGUCAAUCCCUUUUCUCACAGUUCGUCCAUAUGGAAUCAACCCUGCUGUCAAUCAGACCACAGGUCAGUACAGCCCAAAGAUCUCAGCAGAUGGAACCAGCCAAUUCCUGUUUUUUUCUCUCUUUUUCUCUAAGAUGACUGAAUUUAUAAGGUACUGUCUUUUACUACACCUCCAGGCUGUUGAAUCCUUUUGAAGAGGGUCGAAUCAACUCACAAUAGUGAUGGUACUGAUGUAAUGUUACAGAAUGAAGGCUGAGGUUGCUAACGCAGCAAGACCGAGGUGUCCCUGAAGAUCCUGGACUCUUAAUUAUGGUGAAAUAAUCAGUGCGUGCAGUGUAGCCUCGGGCUGCCAGCCCCAGAGGUGAGCUCUACACAGACACACAGAGAACAGAGCGCAGAGAAGAUACUGGUACUUCUCUGAAAACACUGUGUAGUUCAGCCAAAGUGGACAGGUUUAGAUUCAUCUGUGACAAAGGUAUUAAUGAUCUGGUUUUUAAAUGUCAUUAUAAAAAACAAUAGAUGGGCUAUAAUGGCCUAACAGAUAUAUCUGAUUUAGUCAAAAAAGACUUUUCUUUUUCUUUUGUCAGUGGAAAUGUUAUGAGUGUAAUGGGAUUAAGUACACCUGUGUGAACUUGCGUCAUACAUUCACUAAAAAUCACGUUUGCACCAGUAGUUGAAGAAGUUGCCAAUGCCAUUUGGCUUGAUAUUUACAUGUAAUGCAGUGACAUUCACUGUUCACUGUCAUUGGUCGGACAACCUAUAAUCCCACCCCAAAUUCACACUUUUGGGAAAAUCAGUCAAAUACAAAUGUCUUACUUCUAGUGUUAUCUGCAAGUGGGAAGAAAAGCAUUUUAAAAGAAUAGUU